UGUUGUUUUCUCAGAAAUAGGUUUCAUAAUAAUUUUAUUCUUCGAUCGGAUUUCGCAGAUAUACCCUCUAUUACUUAUAAUUUGACAAAUCAAUUAUUUAUUCAAAUCAUUGUUUUUAGCUAAAAUAAUGCUGUCGGAUUCUAUCAUGAACUGAGGGCCGAGCAUUCUAUUGAACUGAGUCUUCUAACAUAAUUCAAAAUUUACCCUAUAUUGACCUAUACACAACAAUGCUCAAAAUGUGUUUAUUCCAAUGAAAAUAUGUCUAUUUUUUUAUACCGAUUAAAUUGAGGAUAGAUUAAUGUGUGACAGUAUUUUUAAUUUUUCUUUUGCUAAUGAAAAGCAAAUUUAUGAUUUUAUCUAUAACCAGAGAUAUUGGCGCUAAAUUUAUCAUAUCCAAAAAAAUAUUGAUAAUUUUUUUUAAUAAGGUGGAAUUUCUGAUAUUCGAAAUAUUCGAAUUUUAUUAUUAUAUACUAAUAUAAUGGUCCCAUAUUUCUAUGGCUUCAUGUAAUUUUUUCAGCACGAGAAGAUGAUUUUUUGUGUCAUGAAUUUUUUUAAUACAAUGGAAAAUCUGUUUCUGAUCGAUGCAUCAGAUUUAAAAACGCGCCCACAUGAUAAUAGCGAAGAUUCGCGGUUUUUUUAUAUCAUGUAAACUCUCCCAAGCUAGCCUGUAAUUUAUUUCGAAUACACCCAAAAAUUGGAUUGCGUGAAUGCAUGAUAAUGAAAUCUUGCAAUAAUCCGAUAAAGAUUUAUUAUUCUGAACCAAUGAAAUAAAUGUAUUUCUGAUUUAAUAUAAUCCUUAGGAAUUCUUUAGAAGUUCAAAAAUUGGCAAUUUUAUUUGCAACAAAAUUAUCAGAUGUUACUGCUGGAUAAUGGCGGGGAACGCGAUCGGUCGUAAUAAUGAAGGAAGAUUCUUUUUUCUUUUGACAUGCGCAUGCAUUUUCUAUGAAAUCUUCUACCGCGACUGUUAUGAUGAAAUUUUUAAACUCUCGAACUGCGUGUGAUAUUUCCAACUAUACCUGUGACAAUUUAUGCUUUCUUGCACAUGUAUAUCUGUCAUAUAACAGAUCUACGCUUCAUAUUCAUUUUUUGUUACCGUACCGUAAGCAUUACUGAUAGCUCGAAUUCUUCGAAAAAUUUCUUAAACUUUAUUAAUGAAAUCGAAUAUAUGCUCGCUGACUAAUACUUUUAAUUGAGCUUUCAUCUGUGCUAAUAGCCAUCUGAUGCUGUUGUUAUGCUGAAUACCGCUGGAUCAGGAAUUUGAUGCAACUUCACAUGUUAAUAAUUGCUGAUCUUUCUUUCAGAUUGAAUCAGGAACACAUUGGCGGAUCUUUAAUGUUAAAACGAAUCUUUUUCUAAUUCUAAUAAUGAUGAUUCUUGAUUGAUGUCCACUGGAUACUGAACUGAAUUCAUUUUUGAAUAUUUAUUUUAUGAUUGUAUUCAGCUGUAUCCGGCUCAAAGGAUAAAGGAUAAAUAUUAAAAUCUAAACUAAAUGAUUUUGAAUAUUGCGAAUAGAAUAUCUGAAUUGAUAGUAUUAUCGACUUAUUGUACAAUCAUUUGUCUUAUAAAAGUGAAUAAAUGAUAGUUUAUUUUAA